rnacentral:lncRNA from 1 species
UUACUUAGAAAGUGUUUACGAUAUGAGAUCGAGUGAGACGGAGUGUAGAAAUGAGAAGUAAUGGAAUAUUACUAAGAUAGAAUGAUAUUCUUAGUAAGGAAGUUUCUGACCGAUUCCUUUUGUUUUACCCCAUGAACUAUUUUCGAUGUUAUGAUAUCUGAAGAAGCGAGCAGAGGACGGAAGUGAGUCCACCCCGAACGCUACGAGAGUAAGCUAGGACAUCAGGUGGGCAUUAUUUUUACUACGUAUAUAGAGAUCCCCUGCGUAUCGUAGGCCUCUUAUACGAAAUGAAGUAAAUGAUGUGAUUUAACUGUCAAUUUCAGUUUGAUGAAAAUUAUUACUGAUGAUGAUGUU